CAGUAGCCGCGGGAAACGUAGGUGGCAGGCGUUGUCCGGAAUUAUUGGGCGUAAAGGGCUCGCAGGCGGUUUCUUAAGUCUGAUGUGAAAGCCCCCGGCUCAACCGGGGAGGGUCAUUGGAAACUGGGAAACUUGAGUGCAGAAGAGGAGAGUGGAAUUCCACGUGUAGCGGUGAAAUGCGUAGAGAUGUGGAGGAACACCAGUGGCGAAGGCGACUCUCUGGUCUGUAACUGACGCUGAGGAGCGAAAGCGUGGGGAGCGAACAGGAUUAGAGACCCGAGUAGUCCCUGUCUCUUAUACA
rnacentral:rRNA from 1 species